UCUCCCCCGGUUCACCUGCCUGCCAAGGCCCACAAGGAAGCCUUUGAUGACACAGUGGAAGAACAUGUAAUCAACGAGGAGUACAAAAUAUGGAAAAAGAACAGCCCUUUUCUUUAUGAUUUGGUGAUGACCCAUGCUCUAGAGUGGCCCAGCUUAACUGCACAGUGGCUUCCAGAUGUAACCAGACCAGAAGGGACAGAUUUCAGCAUUUAUCGAAUGGUCCUGGGGACACACACAUCAGAUGAACAAAACCACCUUGUGACAGCCAGUGUGCAGCUCCCUAACGAUGAUGCUCAGUUUGAUGCGUCUCACUGUGACAGUGAGAAAGGAGAAUCUGGAGGUCUUGGUUCUGUUAGUGGCAAAAUUGAAAUAGAAAUCAAGAUCAAUCACGAAGGAGAAGUAAACAAGACCCGUUAUAUGCCCCAGAACCCUUGCAUCACCGCAACAAAGACUCCCUCCAGUGAUAUCCUUGUUUUUGACUAUACAAAAGAUCCUUCUAAACCAGACCCUCCUGGAGAGUGCAACCCAGACUUACAUCUCUGUGGACAUCAGAAGGAAAGCUAUGGGCUUUCUUGGAACCCAAAUCUCAGUGGGCACUUACUUAGUGCUUCAGAUGACCACACCAUGAGACAUCAGUGCUGUUCCAAAGGAAGGAAAAGUGGUGGAUGCGAAGACCAUCUUUCCAGGGCAUACAGCAGUACUUGAAGAUGUUUCCUGGCAUCUGCUCCAUGAGUCUCUGUUUGGCUCAGUUGCUAAUGAUCAGAAACUUAUGAUUUGAGAUACUCGUUCAAACAAUACUUCCAAACCAAGCCACUCAGUUGAUGCCCACAUUGCUGAAGUGAACUGCCUCUCUUUCAAUCCUUAUGGUGAGUUCAUUCUUGCCACAGGAUCAAUUGACAAGACCGUGGCCUUGUGGGAUCUAAGAAAUCUGAAGCUUAAGUUGCAUUCCUUUGAAUCACAUAAGGAUGAAAUAUUCCAGGUUCAGUGGUCACCUCACAAUGAGACUAUUUUGGCUUCUAGUGGUACUGAUCGGAGACUGAAUGUCUGGGAUUUAAGUAAAAUUGGAGAGGAACGAUCCCCAGAAGAUGCAGAAGAUGGGCUACCAGAGUUGUUGUUUAUUCAUGGUGGUCAUACUGCCAAGAUAUCUGAUUUCCCCUGGAAUCCCAAGGAACCUUGGGUGAUUUGUUCUGUAUCAGAAGACAAUAUCAUGCAAGUGUGGCAGAUGACAGAGAAUAUUUAUAAUGAUGAAGACCCUGAAGGAAGCGUGGAUCCAGAAGGACAAGGGUCCUAGAUAUGUCUGCAUUUCUUGUGAUUUUUAGGCUCCCCUUUUUAUCCUCUCAACUCUGAUAUUGAUUAACACUGGUUUUGAGACACAGAGACUUUGUUCGGCUAUCCCUCUAUAAUAGGUACCACCAACAAUGCUAUUAGCCCAAACAGUGGGAGUUUUCUAAAUGUUAACUGGGGGACUUGAUUCAGCAAAGCCACAGGCUCAAAUUUUCUUCAGGAAUUUUCUAGUAAAAAAUCCCAGGUCUAUAAGUAGCCACAGAAAGGGGAGUAUUAUGUGUGAUUAUUUUUCUUCUUAUGCUAUAUCCCCAAGUUUUUCAGACUCAUUUAAGUAAAGGCUAGAGUGAGUAAAGAAUAGAGCCAAAUGAGGUAGGUGUCUGAGCCAUGAAGUAUAAAUAUUGCAAGGUUUCAUUUUUUUUUAUUUAGGAAAUAGGGGAGAUUCAAGUCAUAGAUUCCUACUCUAGAAUCUUCACAUCUGACUUUCCAGGAUGCACAUUUUCCUAUGUAGACCAGUCUCAGUUUCUUCAGUUAAAGUCAAAACUACACGUUCCUCUUUCUCCAUAUAUUUUUGCUCAUUAGUGUAUUUCUUGAGCUGUUUUCAUAUUGUUUCUUUCCUUUCUGUGAAAUGGGUUUUGUUUUGUU